GCUCCUGUGGCGGAAUUGGUAGACGCGGCAGACUUAAAAUCUGUUUUUUCAAAAAGUGCGGGUUCGAUUCCCGCCAGGAGUA
rnacentral:tRNA from 1 species